CGGCCCAGACUCCUACGGGAGGCAGCAGUGGGGAAUUUUGGACAAUGGGCGCAAGCCUGAUCCAGCCAUGCCGCGUGCGGGAAGAAGGCCUUCGGGUUGUAAACCGCUUUUGUCAGGGAAGAAACGCUCUGAGUUAAUACCUCGGGGUAAUGACGGUACCUGAAGAAUAAGCACCGGCUAACUACGUGCCAGCAGCCGCGGUAAUACGUAGGGUGCAAGCGUUAAUCGGAAUUACUGGGCGUAAAGCGUGCGCAGGCGGUUAUGCAAGACAGAUGUGAAAUCCCCGGGCUCAACCUGGGAACUGCAUUUGUGACUGCAUAGCUAGAGUACGGUAGAGGGGGAUGGAAUUCCGCGUGUAGCAGUGAAAUGCGUAGAUAUGCGGAGGAACACCGAUGGCGAAGGCAAUCCCCUGGACCUGUACUGACGCUCAUGCACGAAAGCGUGGGGAGCAAACAGGAUUAGAUACCCUGGUAGUCCACGCCCUAAACGAUGUCAACUGGUUGUUGGACGGCUUGCUGUUCAGUAACGAAGCUAACGCGUGAAGUUGACCGCCUGGGGAGU
rnacentral:rRNA from 1 species